GCAUGUAGUCUAUAACAAAAAACUGUAAUUACAAACAUUUCACAAGAAAUCAUUCUUAUUGUGAUUUUUUUUUACUUGCAGAAUUGAGCAUACCACAAAAAAGUUCUCAUUUUGUGUCCUCCCAUCCCAUUCUCCUCACUAACCAAAGGUAACCUGAGCCAUGAUGGCACCACUGCACUCCAGCUUGGGUGACAGAGCAAGACCCUGUCUCAAAAAGAAUAAAUAAAAUUAUGAAAUCAAUCUUUUCAUUUGUCAGGCUUUUAAAUAAUUUUUAAAAAGUCAGGCUUUUAAAGAGUUAACGUUAGUUAAUUCUCAGAAGUUACAAUGUUAGUUUUAUUCGGAGUCUUACUGAGCGUUGCAACCCAGGAGAGUCUUUCAGAGAGUCUCUGUUAGACUGCUUCAAAGCAGCGUUUCAGCCCUCGCUUCUAUACAGGCGGUGGAGGUUCUGCAUGUGCUCGGAAGUUACCUAAAGGUGCUCAGAGGUUACAUUAGAGCAAAAUCUCAUCAAAGUCCAGGAGCGAGAGUACGUCUGGUCAUAGAUUACAGAGGUAUAUUCAUUAAUCCUGUCAGAUGUUAUCUUAUGGAUAGGAAAA
rnacentral:lncRNA from 1 species